UUUAUUUAUUAUCUUCUAUGAAAAAUGCCUUGAUUAAUCAGUGUGGGGCUUGGAGGAAUGGUUCGUGGUCUUGGAACCUUGUGUGGAGACGGAAUCUAUUUGUGUGGGAAUCUGAUUUAGAGGAAAAUUUGUUGUCUCUGCUGUCUUCUUUUUCAGGUACUUCCUCUAGACCCGACUCAUGGCAUUGGGCUCUUGAAAAGUCCGGAAUGUACUCGGUCGGGUCAGCUUAUUCAGGGCAGAUUCACUCUUCUCAGUUGGAUCCUGGGCACUUGUUAAAUCAGGUUUGGUUUAAAGACGUUCCGAUUAAAAUAUCUUGUUUUCUUUGGAAG
rnacentral:lncRNA from 1 species